UCCUGGCUCAGGAUGAACGCUAGCUACAGGCUUAACACAUGCAAGUCGAGGGGCAGCAUGAGAUUAGCUUGCUAAUCUUGAUGGCGACCGGCGCACGGGUGAGUAACGCGUAUCCAACCUUCCCCUUAGUAGGGCAUAGCCGGCGAAAGUCGGAUUAAUACCCUAUGUUUUCCGUCGAGGACAUCUGAAGUGGAACAAAGAUUCAUCGCUAAAGGGAUGGGGGAUGCGUCUGAUUAGGUAGUAGGCGGGGUAACGGCCCACCUAGCCGACGAUCAGUAGGGGUUCUGAGAGGAAGGUCCCCCACAUUGGAACUGAGACACGGUCCAAACUCCUACGGGAGGCAGCAGUGAGGAAUAUUGGUCAAUGGACGAGAGUCUGAACCAGCCAAGUAGCGUGCAGGAUGACGGCCCUAUGGGUUAGUAAACUGUCUUUUAUCAGGGGAUAAAGUGCGCCACGUGUGGUGUUUUGUAGGUACCUGAUGAAUAAGGACCGGCUAAUUCCGUGCCAGCCGCCGC
rnacentral:rRNA from 1 species